rnacentral:rRNA from 1 species
AGAAAGUUACUUCGGUACAUCGGUGACAGGUGGUGCAUUGGUUGUCGUCAGCUCGUGUCGUGAGAUGUUGGGUUAAGUCCCGCAACGAGCGCAACCCCUAUUGUUAGUUGCCAUCAUUCAGUUGGGCACUCUAGCGAGACUGCCGGUAAUAAACCGGAGGAAGGUGGGAUGACGUCAAAUCAUCAUGCCCCUUAUGACCUGGGCUACACACGUGCUACAAUGGUUGGUACAACGAGUUGCGAGUCGGUGACGGCGAGCUAAUCUCUUAAAGCCAAUCUCAGUUCGGAUUGUAGGCUGCAACUCGCCUACAUGAAGUCGGAAUCGCUAGUAAUCGCGGAUCAGCACGCCGCGGUGAAUACGUUCCCGGGCCUU